rfam:Oryza sativa (indica cultivar-group) chromosome 1, whole genome shotgun sequence.
GAUACAAGGGAUUUUGAGUUUUUGCUUGUAACGUUUGCCCACUCGUCUUAUUCAAAAUUUUUUGAAAUUAUUAUUUAUUUUAUUUGUGACUUACUUUAUUAUCUAUAAUACUUUAAGUACAACUUUUUGUUUUUUAUAUUUAUAAAAGAAUUUGAAUAAGACGAGUGGUCAAACGUUACAAAUAAAAACUCAAAAUCCCUUGUAUU